CAAGUGCUUGCAAAAUUUUAAUUACCAA
rnacentral:sRNA from 1 species